rnacentral:rRNA from 1 species
CGUAAGGGAACCUGCGGAAGGAUCAUUAUUGAAAUAAACCUGAUGAGUUGGUGCUGGUUCCCUAGGGGGGCAUGUGCACACUUGUCAUCUUUAUAUCUCCACCUGUGCACCUUUUGUAGACCUGGAUAUCUCUCUGAGUGCUAGCCACUCAGGUUUGAGGAUUGACUUGAUGUCUCUCUUUACACUUCCAGGCCUAUGUUUCUUCAUAUACCCAAUGUAUGUCUUAGAAUGUAAUCAAUGGGCCUUUGUGCCUAUAUACAUUUACAACUUUCAGCAACGGAUCUCUUGGCUCUCGCAUCGAUGAAGAACGCAGCGAAAUGCGAUAAGUAAUGUGAAUUGCAGAAUUCAGUGAAUCAUCGAAUCUUUGAACGCACCUUGCGCUCCUUGGUAUUCCGAGGAGCAUGCCUGUUUGAGUGUCAUUAAUAUAUAUCAACCUCUUCAGCUUUUGUUUGUCGAGUGUUGGAUGUGGGGGGUCUUUUUUUUGCUGGUCUUCUACAAAGUCAGCUCCCCUUAAAUGUAUUAGCAGAACAAUUUGUGGAUCUGUUCAUUGGUGUGAUAACUAUCUACGCUAUUGACGUGAAACAGUUCAGCUUCUAACAGUCUAUUGACUUGGACAAAUUUCAUUAAUGUGACCUCAAAUCAGGUAGGACUACCCGCUGAACUUAA